rnacentral:rRNA from 1 species
CGGACGGGUGAGUAAUGCUUGGGAAUCUAGCUUAUGAGGGGGGAUAACUACGGGAAACUGUAGCUAAUACCGCGUAAUAUCGGAAGAUUAAAGUGUGGGACCUUCGGGCCACAUGCCAUAGGAUGAGCCCAAGUGGGAUUAGGUAGUUGGUGAGGUAAAGGCUCACCAAGCCGACGAUCUCUAGCUGGUCUGAGAGGAUGACCAGCCACACUGGGACUGAGACACGGCCCAG